rnacentral:sRNA from 1 species
UUGCAACGUUUCGGUCUUUUAAUAGACCUUA